AGUCGAACGAGAGAUGAAGAGCUUGCUCUUCAAAUCGAGUGGCGAACGGGUGAGUAACGCGUGAGGAACCUGCCUCAAAGAGGGGGACAACAGUUGGAAACGACUGCUAAUACCGCAUAAGCCCACGGCUCGGCAUCGAGCAGGGGGAAAAGGAGCAAUCCGCUUUGAGAUGGCCUCGCGUCCGAUUAGCUAGUUGGUGAGGUAACGGCCCACCAAGGCGACGAUCGGUAGCCGGACUGAGAGGUUGAACGGCCACAUUGGGACUGAGACACGGCCCAGACUCCUACGGGAGGCAGCAGUGGGGAAUAUUGCACAAUGGGGGAAACCCUGAUGCAGCGACGCCGCGUGGAGGAAGAAGGUCUUCGGAUUGUAAACUCCUGUUGUUGAGGAAGAUAAUGACGGUACUCAACAAGGAAGUGACGGCUAACUACGUGCCAGCAGCCGCGGUAAAACGUAGGUCACAAGCGUUGUCCGGAAUUACUGGGUGUAAAGGGAGCGCAGGCGGGAGAACAAGUUGGAAGUGAAAUCCAUGGGCUCAACCCAUGAACUGCUUUCAAAACUGUUUUUCUUGAGUAGUGCAGAGGUAGGCGGAAUUCCCGGUGUAGCGGUGGAAUGCGUAGAUAUCGGGAGGAACACCAGUGGCGAAGGCGGCCUACUGGGCACCAACUGACGCUGAGGCUCGAAAGUGUGGGUAGCAAACAGGAUUAGAUACCCUGGUAGUCCACACCGUAAACGAUGAUUACUAGGUGUUGGAGGAUUGACCCCUUCAGUGCCGCAGUUAACACAAUAAGUAAUCCACCUGGGGAGUAC
rnacentral:rRNA from 1 species